rnacentral:rRNA from 2 species
GCAAAGGUAGCGCAAUCACUUGUCUUUUAAAUGGAGACCUGUAUGAAUGGCAUCACGAGGGCUUAGCUGUCUCCUUUUUCUAGCCAAUGAAAUUGAUCUUUCCGUGCAGAAGCGGGAAUAACAACAUAAGACGAGAAGACCCUAUGGAGCUUUAGACACUAAGACAGAUCACGUCAAACACCCCAGCUUAAUGGGCCGAACUAAGUGAGCCCUGUCCUAAUGUCUUUGGUUGGGGCGACCCUGGGGAGACAAAUAACCCCCAUGUGGAGUGGAAACACCAUAUUUCCAGAACUAAGAGCUAACCGCUCUAAGGAGCAGAAUUUCUGACCAUUUUANAUCCGGCUACUGCCGAUCAGCGGACCGAGUUACCCUAGGGAUAACAGCGCAAUCCUCUUUUAGAGCCCAUAUCGACAAGGGGGUUUACGACCUCGAUGUUGGAUCAGGACAUCCUAAUGGUGCAGCCGCUAUUAAGGGUUCGUUUG